rnacentral:rRNA from 1 species
UACGGGGGGGGUAAGCGUUGUUCGGAAUUACUGGGCGUAAAGGGCUCGUAGGCGGCCAACUAAGUCAGACGUGAAAUCCCUCAGCUUAACUGGGGAACUGCGUCUGAUACUGGAUGGCUUGGAUUCGGGAGAGGAAUGCGGAAUUCCAGGUGUAGCGGUGAAAUGCGCAGAUAUCGGGAGGAACACCAAUGGCGAAGGCAGCUCGCUGGGACGUUACUGACGCUGAGACGCGAAAGCGUGGGGAGCAAACAGG